UACAGAGACUGCAAGCGUAUUCGGAUUCACUGGGCGUAAAGGGUGCGCAGGCGGUCGGGUGUGUCAGAUGUGAAAUCCCGAGGCUCAACCUCGGAACUGCGUCUGAAACUACUCAACUAGAGUACUGGAGGGGUAACGGAAUUCACGGUGUAGCAGUGAAAUGCGUAGAUAUCGUGAGGAACACCAGAGGCGAAGGCGGUUACCUGGACAGUUACUGACGCUCAGGCACGAAAGCAUGGGGAGCAAAAGGG
rnacentral:rRNA from 1 species